GACGAACGCUGGCGGCGUGCUUAACACAUGCAAGUCGAACGGAAAGGCCCUGCUUUUGUGGGGUGCUCGAGUGGCGAACGGGUGAGUAACACGUGAGUAACCUUCCCUUGACUUUGGGAUAACUUCAGGAAACUGGGGCUAAUACCUGAUAGGAGCUCCUGCUGCAUGGUGGGGGUUGGAAAGUUUCGGCGGUUGGGGAUGGACUCGCGGCUUAUCAGCUUGUUGGUGGGGUAGUGGCUUACCAAGGCUUUGACGGGUAGCCGGCCUGAGAGGGUGACCGGCCACAUUGGGACUGAGAUACGGCCCAGACUCCUACGGGAGGCAGCAGUGGGGAAUAUUGCACAAUGGGCGGAAGCCUGAUGCAGCAACGCCGCGUGCGGGAUGACGGCCUUCGGGUUGUAAACCGCUUUCGCCUGUGACGAAGCGUGAGUGACGGUAAUGGGUAAAGAAGCACCGGCUAACUACGUG
rnacentral:rRNA from 1 species